UUUCCGUAGGUGAACCUGCGGAAGGAUCAUUAAUAAAUGGUCUAGAGCAUUAAGUAGACUCAUCCUAUCCUUUGUGAAUUUGUUGUUUUGAAAUAAUUUUUUUUUAAAAUUAUUGAUUGUCUUUCCUGUUGAAUUGGUUGUCGUAAUGACAAGUGAUUCGCAGGGGAGUAGUCAAUAAUUUUUAAAAAGACCUUUUUUAAAUUAAACUUUUUGUAUUCAUUUGUCUAAAAUUAUUUUAUAAUAUAAAAACAACUUUGACAAUGGAUCUCUUGGUUCUCGCAACGAUGAAGAACGCAGCAAAAUGCGAUAAGUAGUGUGAAUUGCAGAAUACGUGAAUCAUCGAAUCUUCGAACGCAUAUUGCACUUUUCUAGUUUACUAGAAAAGUAUGUCUGUUUGAGUAUCAGUAAAAUAUUCUCAUAAAAACUUUUUUUUUUAUGGUUAUGAGUGUUUACAACGAUACAAGUUGUUUCACUUUAAAUUUUUUUAAAAUUUGAAUUUUUCUAAUUUUAAAUACAAAUUGGAUAAAAUUUUCCCGUAAAAAAGGAAUAACCUAAACAAUUUAAACUUUUGAUUAGAAUUUUUCAUUAUAAAGGAAAAUUUAACUAAAAUAACUUGAUCUCAAAUCAGAUAAGAGUACCCGCUGAACUUAAGCAUAUCAAUAAGCGGAUGGAAAAGAAACUAACAAGGAUUCCCUUAGUAACGGCGAGUGAAGCGGGAAGAGCUCAAAUUUGAAAUCUUCAAGGUUUUACCUUGACGAAUUGUAGUUUAAAGAAGUGUUUUCUGUUGAAGUUUUGGUAAAAGUUCUUUGGAAUAGGACAUCAUAGAGGGUGAGAAUCCCGUAUUUGACCAUUAUUUUCAGCUUUGUGAUACACUUUCAAAGAGUCGGAUUGUUUGGGAAUGCAGUCCAAAAUGGGUGGUAAAUUUCAUCUAAAGCUAAAUAUUGGCGAGAGACCGAUAGCGAACAGUACCGUGAGGGAAAGAUGAAAAGAACUUUGAAAAGAGAGUUAAACAGUACGUGAAUUGUAAAAAGGGAAGCGUUUGACACCAGUGUUGUUUUCUCGAAAAUCAAUUAAAAGAGUUGAUUUUGUUGUUGUAUUGACCUUAACAGCUUGCAUUUCAAUUUUCUUGCUUUUUUUAAUGCACUUUCGUUUAACAAGUCAACAUCAGUUUCUUUUGUUGUAAAAAGGUCUUGGAAGGUGGCUUUCUUUUCGGAGAAAGUGUUUAUAGCCUUUGACUCUGCAAUCGGAGAGACUGAGGUCUGCAGCGUAGAUCCUUCGGGGUUAGAUACAUUUGUGCUAAGCUAUAGCUUUUAUAGACAACUUGUU
rnacentral:misc_RNA from 1 species